rnacentral:miRNA from 1 species
AUUUGAUCUAGAGAGAGAGAGAGAGACAGAGAGAGAGAUAGAGGGAAAGCAAAAGAGAGUGCAUGGGUAGAGAGAAAUUGCAUUCGGUUAAAUGGUUUGGACAAAUUUGUUCAUUGCAUUUCCGUGUCAUUUCAUCAGAGAUUCCUUUUUUAGCACAUAGAAGAGAAGCUGCUAUCUCCAUCUCGCUCUCUCUCUCUCUCUCUCUCUCUGAGCUUGUGUAUUUUU